GACGAACGCUGGCGGCGUGCCUAAUACAUGCAAGUCGAACGCAGUGGGGACGGGUGAGUAACACGUGGGUAACCUCCCAUCAGAGGAGAUAACACUUGGAAACAGGUGCUAAACCGAUACUGAUGGAUGGACCCGGGGUGCAUUAGCUAGUUGGUGAGGUAACGGCCCCCCAAGGCCACGUUCCAUAGCGAACCUGGUGGGGUGAGCGGCCAGACUGGGACUGAGACACGGCCCAGACGCCUACGGGAGGCAGCAGUAGGGAAUCUUCGGCAAUGGACGAAAGUCUGACCGGGCAAGGCCGCGUGAGUGAAGAAGGUUUUCGGAUCGUAAAACUCUGGUGUUAGAGAAGCGGUAUCUAACCAGAAAGCCACGGCUAACUACGUGCCAGCCGCCGCGGUAAUAC
rnacentral:rRNA from 1 species